rnacentral:rRNA from 1 species
GACGAACCGUACGAACGUUAUUCGGAAUCAUUGGGCGUAAAGGGUGCGUAGGUGGCGCUGUAAGUCGGGUGUGAAAUUUCGGAGCUUAACUCCGAAACUGCAUUCGAUACUGCGGUGCUUGAGGACUGGAGAGGAGACUGGAAUUCAUGGUGUAGCAGUGAAAUGCGUAGAGAUCAUGAGGAAGACCAGUGGCGAAGGCGGGUCUCUGGACAGUUCCUGACACUGAGGCACGAAGGCCAGGGGAGCAAACGGG